ACUUCACUAAUCUCUAUAAGACGAUUGCAGUAUGUUAACUGGAUACAGGUUUGCGUGUCGUGAGUUUGGAGACCAAAAUAUUUGAAGCUGAAUCCUUUGAUGGAAUACACUAUCUGCUUAUUGAUGAGCAGUAGCAGUGGAUACAAGGUCUCCAAGAAAGAUUUGGAGAUAGGGUGAAAUGAAAUGUAUCUGAUCACACUAUUAAGAAAAGGUUGAUGUCCGAUUCCAAGAUAUGUGUGUCAUUUUCUGCAAUUCCAGCAAGUAGAAACCAAUUUCAAUGAGCAGCAGAAUUUUGGAUAAAGAAAAAUAGUCAUAUUAGCAGAUAUGUAUGGUUGCAUUAAAGAGGUUGUACCAGGUCACACACUGUUUAUAGCAGUAAGGUAUGAACAUGAAUCAAUAUGUGAGACCUUCCUUGAAAACCA